AUGGGAAAAAGGAAUUAUACCAAAGGCAUGGCGACGGGCAGGAGGAAUCCUGAUUCCCAAAGAAAAGAAUUCCUCAACCAUCGAUCAGUUCCGCCAGAUCAGCCUCCUGAAUGUGGAAGGAAAGAUAUUUUUCAGUGUUGUGGCCAGAGGCUCUCUGUAUUCUUGCAGAAGAAUAACUUUGUUGACACCUCGGUGCAGAAGGCAGGGAUAAGUGGUUUCUCAGGAUGCCUGGAACACACAAAUGUCAUCUGGCACCAGAUACAGACAGCCAAGAAGGAGAAGAAAGACUUGCAUGUGGUUUUCUUGGAUCUCGCUAAUGCCUUUGGGUCAGUGCCGCAUGAAAUUCUGUGGACUGCGUUCAAGUUCUUCCAAGUCCCAGAGGGUGUCACAAGGCUGGUCAAAGCCUAUUUCCAGGAUCUUCAAUUCUGUGUGACAAUACAGGCCAGUACAACUGCCUGGCAGCACCUCGAGAUAGGCAUAAUGGCGGGCUGCACUAUAUCUCCACUGGCAUUUACAAUGGCGAUGGAGCUCAUUAUUCGAGCAUCCCGAUGGGUGGUAGGAGGGGAGCGGUUGAAGAGUGGGCUGCGUCUUCCUCCAAUAAGGGCGUACAUGGACGACAUGACGACAAUAACAACAACAAAUGCAUGCACCAAACGCCUGUUGGAUAAACUCCAAGGAAACAUCAAAUGGGCAAGAAUGGAGAUUAAACCCAGCAAAUCCCGCAGUAUCUCCAUUGUCAAGGGCCAGCUUACCAAUGAGAGGUUCCAGGUCAACAACGAGCCAAUACCAACAGUUCUGGAGAAGCCCAUAAAAAGCCUCGGCCGCUGGUAUAGCGCAGAACUCAAAGACUCGAAGCAGAUAGAGCAACUCAGGCAGGAUACAAUCAGUGGCCUCAAGAAGAUCAACAACACUGCUCUCCCAGGGAAGCUGAAGCUGUGGUGCUUUCAGUUUGGGCUGCUGCCCCGUCUCAUGUGGCCAAUUUCUAUAUAUGAGGUCACGCUCUCCCAUGCCAUUAGACUGGAGAGAUUAGUGAAUGCACAAGUGAGGAAGUGGCUGGGACUGCCGAGAUGCCUUACCAGCAUUGGCCUGUAUGGCAAUGGAGCCCUCUCCCUGCCAAUCUCAAGCCUGGUGGAGGAGUACAAAUGUGCCAAAUCAAGGCUGGAAAUGACUCUCACAGAAUCCCGGGAUCCAGUCGUCAGAGGUGCUGCUCCUAUCCUAGCAACGGGGAGGAAGUGGAAGCCAUCGGCAGCGGUUGCGGCGGCAAAGGCUGCCCUCAAACACCGGGAUAUAGUGGGGCAGGUCCAACAUGGCAGAGGGGGCCUUGGAUUGGAAGCAGCAACACCCACAUGGCAAAAGGCUACUCCAACCGAACGGCGGCACAUGGUGGUGGAGGAGGUGCGCCACCAGGAGGAAGCAGCCAGGUGUGCCAAGGCUGUCUCCCAAGCCCAGCAAGGCCGUUGGAUGAAGUGGGAUGGUGUGGAGAGGAGAAAAAUCACAUGGAGUGAGAUGUGGGGUAUGGAGGCUAAUAGACUAAGUUUCAUAAUCAGGGCCACAUAUGACGUUCUGCCCUCCCCAACCAACCUACAUCUCUGGUAUGGAGAGGACCCAGCCUGUUCCUUGUGUGCAGGUGCAGCCCCAGCAACCCUCAAACACAUCAUGGUGGGUUGUAAGACAAGCCUAACUCAAGGAAGGUACACCUGGCGCCAUAACCAAGUGCUGAGGUGUUUGGCUGCCGAACUUGAGAACAAGAGGGCAACCACCAACGCCGCGCCUCUAAAUGCCCAAACUACCAUCCCGCGGAGAACAACCUUCAUGCGGGAAGGGGAGAAACAGUGGACUAAGCCAUCACUCCCAGACUGUGGCCCACUGAACGCAGCCCGGGAUUGGGAAAUGCGGGUAGACCUUAACCAGAGGCUCACCUUCCCACCCGAAAUUGCAGCAACCAACCUGCGCCCAGACCUUGUCCUUUGGUCCAAGUCCUGCCGGCGUGUCUUCAUCGUUGAAAUGACUGUCCCAUGGGAGGAUGCCAUCGACGAGGCAUUUGAGCGGAAGAGGCUGCGAUAUGCCAACUUAGCAGCUGAAGCAGAGGGGCGGGGCUGGAACGUGAAGGUGUGGCCAGUGGAGGUGGGAUGCAGAGGUUUUGUAGCCAGCUCUACCACAAGGCUCUUGAAGGAAGUAGGGAUCAGAGGGCAGUCCCAACGGAGGGCAAUCAAAGAACUUGCCACUGUAGCGGAACGGAGCAGUCACUGGCUGUGGCUGAAACGUAGGGACUCAACAUGGGCUGCCAAAUGA
rnacentral:lncRNA from 1 species